GUUGUAAAAGCGCGCCUCAUUAUAUACAAAGCAAAAGGAGAAGAGGGGGAGAAGCUGCAUUUCGUCCCUCCCACACCUCCGCUCCCCUUCACCCGUCUCCUCCUCAGCCUCACGAUUAACCCGUCCACACAGUUCAGCAGCUUUCCAAGUCACGACACCACCCUCCCUUGUUCAUCAUUACACGCAACUUCAUGAGCGCACUCGAUUCGUAAAGCGCUGUCGAUCUCCUCCCUGUCUUUCCUUCGUAGUUCUUCGUUUUGUUUGUUGUCUUGUCUGUAUUAUUGUGUGUGCGUGUGUAUUUUUGGGGGGAUUUUGUUCCUUUAUUUCUUCCUUUUUUUCUUUUCAGUGGUUUUUUUCCUGUCUCUCUCUCUCUCUGUUUUGCCUUUUUUUGUCUUUUCGCAUUUCCUUGUGUGCUUCAUCAUCAUCCCUAGUUUCAGUCCCCUCUCUCUCUCCCUUCUUUUGUUGUUGUUUCGUCUCGUUUUCGGAUUCUCCGCCUUCGCUGAGCUGCUAAGGUGCGCGUGCUUUUUUUUCUUUUCGCCGGUGCAUCGGGCUCUUCAGCGGAGAGAAGCGCUUCACGUACACUUGACCGAACUACAUUGCUUCUUGUGGUCACCCCAGAGACCUUCUCUUGCCUAUACUGUCGUAGACGUCUACGACUAGUACUGAGGAAUGCGGGAGAGAAUCACCGUCUCUCUUUUCUUUUCUGUAUCUCUGAAUACUUUUCGUCCUCUUCUCCUUCUCGAACUGCUACUCCUGCCGUUCGUAAGUUUUUGUUUGUCCCGGCUUCAGAUUUCCUAUCUGAUUCUUGCUUGCUUUCCCUUCCCCUCCUUUUCCAGUAAGUGUGGGUGUGGGUGUGUGCGCCCUGCUCACGGCUUCUUCGUUCCCUCUCUCUCUGCGUAGCUCUUUACAACUUCUCGGGAGCUAUUUUCUUUCGUUUUGCGUGUAUGCCUGUGUGUGUCUGAGCGUCCGCUGAACCACUAUCAACCACCCUUUUUUUCCUCUACCCAUUUUUGCCAGCGAGUGGAGCAGACAGCUCUCUUCCCCUACGUUUCGGCUGUUGGAGGUGCGCAGCAAAAAAACACUUGUGAAGCGACACGGACAAGCGAGCAGCGAAACGACUCGACCCAUUUCCGCUUUUUCUGCCGUUCCUAUCGUACGCUUCCCCUUUACUUUCUCCCAGCACUAACACCCAAUACGAGCGGCACACACACAUAUGUAUACACACAAAAAAAACGCUAUAGCAGACGCAAAGAGUUUUUUCUCUCUCUUUCAUCAGGUCGCCUUUCGCUUCCUCUGGCUCCCUCUUCCUCCUCCGCCUUCUCCUUGUCCCACACACACACACACUGCCGCUCCACCGCCACCAACACCACGACCGCCCCACCCCCUUUUGUGUUCUGUCUUGCCUAUCACGGUAGCGGUUGAGUGCUCUUUUUUUUUGUCGUUCUUUAUUGUUGUUGGUAGCGUGCGCGUGUGUGUUUUUCUUUUUCCCUCUCUUCGUUCCUUUUUUUCAUCUUUGCUAGUUCAUCUUUCCCGUGAACUUAAAAAGUUUCUCACUCACUCUCGUCUCGUGGCAUUCCGUGUCUUUUUUCCCUUUUAUUAUGAUUAAUCUGGUUUACGUAAAAUCCAUCGUAUUCGUGUGUGUGUGUGUGUAUGAGCCACGCAUGGAAUGCUGUUGCAGCUGAUCUUGGUCGUUGACAUUCUCUCCCGCACCCUCUCUGUCUCUGUCACUAGAACGCUUUUUUUUUCGCGCUCGUUUCUCUCGCCAUGCUCUCCUGCGGAGUUUCGACGACCGGUGGUGGGUCGCUCAUAAGAAACGGUGCCCCGAUGCACGGCAUCUCCAUCCGCUCCGCAACACCACCGCGUCGCCACAACGCCCCUCUUUCUGCCGAAUCCGAGCUUACUGUUCUCACUGCAGGUGUCUCCUUGGCACACGAGGAGACGUGUACUCGCAAGGUGGCGUGCACAGUGUUCAACCGCACGCCAGCGGACGGCGCUCCGAGAUGCAAGUCGAAUAGCUCCCUUACCACUGUCGCUGUCUUGUCCGCCGAUUUGUCGCCGCGGCAGCGUCGAUGCGGCACCAGCUUCGCCUCGAGCAUUCUUGCGGAGUGCGACUCGCCGUGUGGCUCACCUCGCGUGCACCUUACUCGGCCCUUUUCUAGCCGUGGCUCGUUCGCGAAGCCGGUGCUCUGUGGCAGUGUACCGAGCACUGGAGCGCCGUCGUUAAAGGCUGCGGACGGUGCCCUGGCGAACCGCAGCUCCAGCGGACUGCAUGGGGUGUCGCCAUCUCUCUCGGUGACCCUGAGCGAGGCGGAAGAGGACGUCACCGUGACGAGUGCAGAAUCGGUCUCUGCGACUGCUUCUGUGGAGCCGCUGGCGACGCCGGGCAGCAUCGUCUUGGCCGCCAACGAUGCAAGGCCGUCGAGCUCUCCGUCCUUCACCUAUUUCCCCAGCAGCGGCGGAGGCGUUCCUCAGGAAAGCUCGGCAUCGACCAGCGAUAAGGCAAACGCAGUCGGAAGCGUACCUGCUUUCCGGCUGAGCAGCGUCCCCGGCAUCCGUGAUGGCUGCGGGGCCAUCGUGAAUAACAACAUCUCGACGGAACAUAAAUUCUUUGAACCUUUGCAGCUGGAUGCUGCUGGCCACCUCUUCUCCCCACUGCAGCGGUUCUCCAGUGCUCACACCUCGCAGCGCGCCAGCUGUGUCGCGGCUCUUGAGCCCCGCGCGUUUGACUUCGGUGGUGCACCUGUCGAGCACAAGGACGUUACGCUCGCAUGCCCUUUGUCAAAUGUGCACCACGGCAAACUGUGCGAGAUCGUCAAGCAGCAGCUGCUCCUGCACGCCUGCCUUGUGUCCAUCGCACGGGAAAGAGAUGAAGGAGAGGAUUUGCAGCGGCGCGGCAACUUCACUUUAGAGAAAGUGCAGUUGCAGCAGCAGCGCCGUCGCUGCCGUUGUCUGCUGUCCAUUAUGUGGCUGCUCUGGAGUGUGUUUCUCCGUCUUCCGCUACGCUUUCUGAAGCGAGUGCUGACUACUUCUGUUGGCGAAUUGCGGAAAAUCUUGCUGUUGACGCAAGAGUCCUAAAGUGCAUUCUGCCAUGGCGCACCCGUGUCCCCUAAUAAAAAACAACGACAACAAAAAAGACGAAAGAAUGAGUUUUUUUUUUCGAAACGCGAGUUUUUCCUCUUUUUUUUCUGUGUUCUUAGCGCACUGACUCGUGUCGAUUCAGGGAUUUUUGUUGAAGUUGUGUGUGUUACUCCCCCUUUUUUUGUCCUUUGUUUUGUUCGCCCCUUUCAUGUGGUUUCUCUCGUCCUGUUUCCUGUGCACGCGAUCCCACUCUUUGUUUUCUUUCGUUUUUCGUUUUUUUUUCAUCUGAAUUGACACCUGCGCUCCCUGUGUGACAGAUAAAGGAUGUGCGUUCCUUCUCACUUCUUCCUUUGGCCGUCUCUCGGGGCACCUUGGUCCUUUUUAUCGGCUUUUCGUAACAGGUAAUGCAGAGAAAAUUCACUGCGAUUCCGAUUGACAGCGAGGGAGGUAACGGAAGGGAUGCCAGCGGAUAGAUCUGCGCGUCGAGGAAUGGGCCAUGAGGGAAGGGCAAGCUGGAGCUCUACAUGUUUUGUGCAUGUGCUAGGGGUUUUCAUGCACGUAUCUUCCAUUUUCUUGCUCAAGUUGGCACCGCAUCCCUCCUCUCGCUUUGCCUUAGUUAUCCGACCCAGCGGCACCCCACUGACGCGUUACUCUCCACUUCUGUGCGCCUCCUCUUGCCUGCCGCGCAUAUUUCUUCCAACGGGUAGAGGUCCCUAUCAUUCCUUAUUAUCGGCCUCUCUUCGUCACCUCCGCAACUUUUUUUUGUUUCUUUUCUUCCUCCUUCCACUCUAAUUGUUUGUUCUAACACGUUGACCCAUAUUACUUUCUCUGUGCAUGUGUGUGUGCGUUCGUCUAGGAAGAUGUUCCUUCUUUUUCGAUGCCUUGGUGCUCUCACCUCCUUUGUCGCUGUCUCUCCAUCUCUGUAGCGCUUUAUUUUCAGCUUUCUCGUCGCUAAUGUCCUGAUUUUUUCUUUUGUGCGUGUUUCAUUCGGUGUCUUUUCACUUCGUUCAUCGGAUCUUCUGUGCCGCUUCUUUUUCAGGCUCCCUGCUGUCUUGCUCCCGCGUCUGUGAGGAAGGACGACACUCGUUGUGGGGAUGUGCCCAGCUCUGUUCCUUUCACCUUCCUCUCUCCUGCUGGCGUCGAUAUUUCUUUUUUUUUUUUCUGCCCCGCCCCCUCCCUCCACCUUGGUCUUCCAAUGCAGCAGAACUGUACCAGAAAGGAUGGACAUCAUUGCCAUGCGGGCCCGUGGAGACAUAUUCCCCACCCGCUUCCUUCACAAGCAACGACGCGCGUAGCUGACACCCUGGUGAAUGUCUCUGUUUUUUUUUUUGCAGCCUUUGCCAACCCCCCUCACGCGCGCAUGCGACAAAACACUGUAAACGCGCUUUUGCACACGAGGAGGAUGUGUAUUCCCCGCCGCUUGUGCAGCUCUGUCAUGAGGGCGGGGGGAGGGGGGUAAUGCUCAAUGCUGCUUGCUUCGUAUCUGUGUCUUUCUGUGUUUCUUUAUUUUUGUCUCUGCCACUCUGUUGGACUCUCCUCCAAGCGCCAGCCCGUCUUUCUAGUCCUCGUGCACUUGAACCGUUGUUAUGGCGAAAGGUUCGUGGGGCGAAGAUAUCGGCGGAGACAGAGACAGACACGUAUCUGCGGAGGGUGCGGCAUGCAGUCUAGCGCGGCUCUCAGAAGCGCCAUAGACGCAAAAGCCAGAUGUAAAACGCACAGCAAAAAAAGGAUCUAAAUGGCUGUAUCGUGCACUCGUUAUACCAUGCGGAGUAGAUUCUUCCCUGCCCCCCUGCCUCCCUCCCCGUCCCUCCUCCUCCCGUUUGUGCCCUUGCUCCGUUAGGAGUCCCCCACCCCCACCCCGCUCGACCCCAUUCUCAGUCUCGCUUUCUGACUCCUGUGUCCUUGGCACUUGUUAAGUUCACGCUGUACUAUUCAUUUUUCCUUUUAGUGUGUGCGUCUUUUGUGCUCGCUUUGUUAGUUUCCGUUUCGAGGGUGUUUUGUGCCUUGCUUCUAUAUAUGGAUAUGCUACUCAACAUCGUGUUUCCUCGUUGUUGGUUUCCUCUCUUGUUCUUUAUGCCGACGCCCCCCCCCCACACACACACACUUUUUUUUUUCGAUCAUCCCCUUUCGAGCGUUCCUUUCUCUGUCUCUUUGUCUCUUUCACGGUCUUCUUUUUUUUUGUCGGCUCUAUAUACAUCGCCUACUCUGGCGUGUGCGUGUGUGUUUAUGAGAGUGUCCUGCGUCUGACGUGCUGGUCAACUCCCUGUAUUUCGUUCGUUCUUGUAUGCGAGCGCGAGCGCGUCAGUACGUUCUCUCUCUCUCCCUCUGUGUGUGUGUCUUCUGUGCAUUUGGCGUCCUUUUUUUCUCUCUGCGUUUAUCCGUGAUAUAUAUAUAUAUGUGUGUGUGUGUGUGAUGUGGCCUUCCAUUGGCCGCCGAUGUAGACCCAUCUAUGUCUUUUUGGUUGUUGCUCCUUUUCCUACUUUUCUUUUGCGUUUCAUUUCUCUCUCUUGGAUGUAGAACCGGUCACUCGAUCCUGCUGUGGAUACUGGCAUUCCUCUACACUACUCCCGCCUUCUCCGCCAUUCACGCUUUGGGCGUCUCCUCACCGUGUCCUCUCUCGCACCUGCCACCGCAGAGGUCUUCACUUUUACACUCGUUUUGUACGCCUCAGCGUUACGCUCACCUGCACCGGGUGGAACGAACACCGAUGCCUUACCACUUGAUGGUUCUUGUUCUCUCUUUUCGUCUCCCUUCCUGCCCCUCCCUCCCUCCCUCAGUCUCAAAGAGCAAGUAUCUGAUGGCCUCACAGCGGCAGCAACGGCGAAGGCAACACCAGCGGUGCCGUCUCACUCCCCACCCUCCCCCUGCCUUAUGCGAGAGUAGCCCUCCACUCGUACCAAUCGCAGAGAGAACUGCCACGUAGAGAGCAUGCUAGCGUAUGUGAGCGAUCGUACAAGAACUCAAAAACAGCACAACUCCGAUUGUUUCUUUGUGCUCCUGCACAUUGCAUGCGAGAAGCCCCCUUCCGUCUUCCUCUCACAACCGUUUUUCUUUUUUUCACGAUGUUAUCGCCUACAUCUCUCUUUUUGGUAAUGUUUUCCUUUUUUAUUUUUGGACUCUGCUUACCGUUUUCCAUUUUUCUUUUUUUUUAGUAUGGGGACAGCGUUUCCGUGGAUUACUCCCAUCCCCCCCCCCCCACACACACCCUCUCCUCUCUCAACUUAAAGUCCUCGUCAAAGAGAGCAAUACAACAAGAACAACAGCAACGCCCUCUCUUCAUCGCUUUCAUCUCCGUUCUAUAGAAGGUAGCAGGAUAGUUUUUUUUUGUUUGUUUGUUUCUUGUGGCGCUUCUGUUUUUUUUUUUUUUGCUUCUCGCACCGCAGAAGAGAUAAAUAGAAGCGCGAAAGCGAAUGCACGCGCACACGCGCGGGCAGCCACGCUCGCCCGUUUGGUCCCUCUUGUGCGAGAAACACGAAACAAGGGCGAGAAGAGGAAGAAAGACGGCGUUUUAUACCUCUCCUCUUUGUCCUCCUCGCGCCACGUGCUCUCUCAUCCUUUCAGUCCUUCAUUUGAAAUCGGCAGUGCUGGCCUCUAGUAGUAGUAUAAAGAAGCUUUCACGAAGGGGGCGGGAGUCUCAAGUCUUCUUUGUCUUUCCUUUUCCCUUCUGCGAUGCGCUCUCUCGCUCUUCUCCCUGUGACUUGAGCGGGCCGCAUAUGGCACCAUCAGCGAUGUACAGAAAUCACUUUCGUGAGCGCGCGUGUGUGUGCGUGUGCCAUUUUCCCAAAGGGGACACUCCGUGUGGUGCUGUACCUAUCUGUGUUUACAUGUAUGGCGUACGAGGUUGGCUUCUCUUUCGCUGUGCGGGAGUUGAUCUGCAGCGCCACGGGCGAAUCGCUCUGUGAGUGAGUGUCAUGUCCUCAGUCCUUUUCUGCUGUCAUGGCCCCACAUGGAAGCUUCUCACGCACACACGCACGCAGUGCUGGCGCAAGAAUACGACCAGCACUAAGCCCACAUUCACUCGCAUCUAUAAAUGGGGGGGGGGGGUACCGCUUGAACUCGUGCUUUAGUUCUCCCCUUUUUGUUUUCUCUCUCUUUUCAUGCUCCCCCCCCAUCUGCCUUCCGCUUUCCUUCUCGGUAUAGUGGUUAUAGCUAACGCAGUCGCAGACAAGCACCAGUCUCAGCCGUAUCCCUGGCCUUGCUCUUCCUUGUUGUUUUCUGUGCCUCUUUUCGUGCCUGUGUUUGUUUUGCUGUACCCUUUUCUUCCCUUCCACUCGUUGUGUGUUACUCUGCCUGUCUCUUUUCUGCUGUUGUUGUCAUAGUUUUCGCCUCAUGACGUUUUCCCUCUCUUAGCGGGUUGGUCUGUAGAUGUGUGUGUGUGUGUGUGUGUGUGUGCGCGCGCGCGCCCCCACCCCCUCACUCUCUCUAACUUCUCUUAGUUCUAGUCCACCCUUUAUCUGUCGCUGCCCGAGACAUCGACGAGGGGCUCGCUUUAGCUGUGCCAUCCGUCCCCCUUCUCACGCUUCCACCUGCCUCGCCGCCCGCCAACCUCUGAUCAGUUAUAUGACGAUCAAGAGGAGGAAGUAGGGAGGGAGGCAGAAGGAUGGAGAGAGUUGAGGGAAAGGCGGACACGGUAAUGAAGAGACAGGACAAGCAAGGAACGGCGAGAGCGCCGAGAUUCCCUUCGCGGGCAGGAAGUAAUAUGCACAUUAUUGUGCUGUUUCACGCGAGCCGAAAGCCGUUCUCGCCUUCGGAGCAAAUCUUUCGCGCCGGGUUCUCAUACCUCCACCAUCGGUGACUCUUGUUCUCAGUCUUCCGGUACAUAACUUAUCCUCGAUUCACACGCACACGCACACGCACACGCACGAAAAGCAGAUGCAAUUACGCGACAUCAAUGACUGACGCCUCCUGUCGCUCGUCUGUCUUGAGGGCAUCGUGAUGUGCUCCUUCUCUUUCCUCUUUUUUCGUCGCUUCAGUACCUGCAUGUAGGUCUUUGUGUCUAAUCGUGUGUGCAUGUGUGUGUCCGGGAGGGUAAGAAGGGUGUGUAUAUGCUGAUUUCUCGGACUUGGCACGUUUUGUGUAAACGAGCCACUGCUCUCUGUGUCUUGUUUGAUGUGUGAAUUUGGUGGUGCUCAUGAUGGAAUGUGUCCAUGUAUGCCUCGUCUACAUGUGAUGAAGCGCACAACUGCCUACGCGCUUAUGCAUACUUACAUACACGCCCUGCGAAAGAGAGGGGCGCGCAUGCGGAUGCCCUUGGCACAUUCACAGCAGCUGCCGGGCACACAGAAGGCGCCUGGAAACGCCAUCUCGCCCGGUUCGAUCCGGAAACAACGGCAACCGCAGCAACGAUAGAGAACAAAACGGUGGAUAUUCAACACACAAUCGUGCGGGACUGCAGACGUUUCAUUUUUUUUUUGCUUUGUUGUUGCUGGCUUGUUUUGUCCCACGCUUUCUGUCGUUGUUCUCUAUUGCCGAACGACUUGUUGUGGGUGCCGUUCACCCCCCCCCUCCCCUUUUUCUUCGCCUGUUCACUUCUUUCGUUGCGUGCUCUCCUGUUUCUUUGUUGUUUAGUUUAUUUGUGCCUGUUUUUUUUUUUGGGUGUGUGGGUCACCUAGGUGUGCGUGCGUCUAUAUAUAUACACACAUACAUGCAUAUGUAUAUAUAGGUCUAUAUACAUAUUCACACACACACAUAUAUACAUCUAUAUAUAUGUGUGUGUGUGUGCUCGCCGGUACCGGUUCGUGUUGGCGAGUGUUUUUCGUUUUGUUUUUGAGGUGAAACACACACACAUAUAUAUAUAUAUAUAAACGUCGCUUCUCCUCGUGCGCUGUGGCUCCUCGUCUUCGUCUUCGCUAAACGCUACACUUCGGUAAGGUGUCUCUCUCUUUCCUCGGUCUUCUCCAAUCCACCUCUCCUCCGUGCCUAGGCAUUGUUUUCGCGUGUCUGUGUACGUGUGCGCUCUAUCCCGUAGCCCCUCCUGUGUGUUAGCAUGCGUGCGCGUGUGUGUCUUUUCCUCAGUCUCUUACCAGCUGUAGUAACCGCGUGCGUCUCUCUCUGCGGCUGUGCCCCUUCGGCGUGUCUGCAUAUGUGUGCACUGUGGCCUCUUCUCCACUAUUCUUGCCUUUUCCUCGACCCGCUCCCUUCUUGUUUUUGUUUUGUUAUCCAAUUCUGUGGUGCUUUUUCUUUUCGUCUCUGUGUCUGUGUGUGUGAGCGCCUCAUCGUAUGAUGUCGGUGUUUUCUCUCUUCCUGUGCGUUCAUAGGCUCUUUGUCGGUCGGUCUGGCUCUUUUCUUCUUUCGUCUAUUGUUCUUUCUGUGUCUUAGUAUUCCUCGUUCCAACCCUUUCGAUGACGUCGAUGAACGCUUGUUUCACGUGCUCGCCUGUUGUCGAUGUCUAUGUCAACGUCUAUGUGUGUGUGUGUUUAUUGUUUUCGUUUGUUGUGUGUGUGCCUUUUCGUACGGCUGCUGCAGGGGAGCGGUACCCGUGGAAUUGUCACCUUCCCUUUUUUUCUUUCCUGCCACGGAAAGGAGGUGUUUAACGUACGUUCAGGUCUGUCUUGUUGGUUCGCUCCUUUUCUGUUGUAGGGGACGCUUUUGUUUUCCCUUUUAUUAUUAUUAUUUUCGUUUUCGACUAGUUGUUUGCCAGCGUUCUCACCAUCUCGCACGCCGUCCCCUUCGUGGCGCUCUGCGUGAUCUGCUUUCUCCAAGUACCGCCAAACCCUUUCUUUGGUUUCUUUUUUAUUCUUUUGCUCGCUACACCUUUCUCUGUCGGCAGCGUUGAAAAGAAGAAGGACAGCAAAAAAAACCCUCGAUGGCUCGUAGACGGGCAUGUUUCAGUGCCAUUCUUCCUGCAGACAUGAGUGAAAAAAGCGCGCGAUGAGGAAAAUGAAAGUUGUAACGUAGGUGAUGAUACACAAAAGAAUUGACGAACAGCAGGAAGCUCUCCGCAACAGCGUCGCGUGAAAGGUGUGCUUUAUUAUUAUUAUUACGAUGUUCGCCUGUGCGCUUCUUUUCUUUGGUGGCAUCGCUGUAUAGCUCUUCUCGUCGGCAUCUGCCACGUCUUCCGCAGCAUCGAC
rnacentral:misc_RNA from 1 species